rnacentral:rRNA from 1 species
AUGUGGCCGGAGAUGAAGGCGUGGGCGUCCAUGGCCGACGACCCGCUGAAGCGCGCCUCGUCGUCGGCGACGAGCCCGUCCAGCCCCAUGCGCCGCUUCAGCCCCACCACGAUGGCCGUCGGCGGCCUCCUCGCCGUCGGCACCGUCGGCUACUUCAUGUUCAUGGGCAAGGACGACAGGCAGCGCGAGCGCGACAGGCACAACGAGCGCCUGGCUCAGCGCCCCUGA